rnacentral:rRNA from 1 species
UCGCCUGUUUAACAAAAACAUCUCUUAAAGUUAAAUUUUUAAGUAAGGCCUGCCCAUUGAUAUAAUUUUAACGGCAGCGGUACUCUGACCGUAUAAAGGUAGCAUAAUCACUUGGCUUUUUAUUGAGGUCUGGUAUGAAUGGCUUAACGAUUGGUUAACUUUAAUUUUUUAAAUAAAAGAAAUUAAAAUUUAAGUUAAAAUUCUUAAAUUGUAUAAGGGGACGAGAAGACCCUAUAGAUCUUUACAUUUAUAUUAUUAAUGUUUAGUUGGGGCGAUUUAAGAAAUUAACUUCUGUGAUUAUUAGUUUAUCAAAUUAUAAAAAAGAAGGUCAUUAUUUAUCUAUAUGAAAAGUUACCUUAGGGAUAACAGAGUGAUAUUAAAUGAGGAAAAUUAUUUGAAUUUAAGAUUGCGACCUCGAUGUUGAAUUAGGAUAUUUAUCAUAAGCACAACUUUGGUGAAUUAGUCUGUUCGACUAUUCAAACCCUACGUGAUCUGAGUUCAGACCGGA